UACGUAGGUGGCAAGCGUUGUCCGGAUUUAUUGGGUUUAAAGGGUGCGUAGGCGGCCCUGUAAGUCAGUGCUGAAAUAUCCCAGCUUAACUGGGAGGGUGGCAUUGAUACUGCGGGACUAGAGUACAGAUGAGGUAGGCGGAAUUGACGGUGUAGCGGUGAAAUGCUUAGAUAUCGUCAAGAACACCUAUAGCGAAGGCAGCUUACUAGGCUGUAACUGACGCUGAGGCACGAAAGUGUGGGGAUCAAACAGG
rnacentral:rRNA from 1 species